rnacentral:rRNA from 1 species
AGAGUUUGAUCCUGGCUCAGAUUGAACGCUGGCGGCAGGCCUAACACAUGCAAGUCGAACGGUAACAUUUCUAGCUUGCUAGAAGAUGACGAGUGGCGGACGGGUGAGUAAUGCUUGGGAACUUGCCUUUGCGAGGGGGAUAACAGUUGGAAACGACUGCUAAUACCGCAUAACGUCUACGGACCAAACGGGGCUUAGGCUCCGGCGCAAAGAGAGGCCCAAGUGAGAUUAGCUAGUUGGUAAGGUAAUGGCUUACCAAGGCAACGAUCUCUAGCUGUUCUGAGAGGAAGAUCAGCCACACUGGAACUGAGACACGGUCCAGACUCCUACGGGAGGCAGCAGUGGGGAAUAUUGCACAAUGGGGGAAACCCUGAUGCAGCCAUGCCGCGUGUGUGAAGAAGGCCUUCGGGUUGUAAAGCACUUUCAGUUGUGAGGAAAAGUUAGUAGUUAAUACCUGCUAGCCGUGACGUUAACAACAGAAGAAGCACCGGCUAACUCCGUGCCAGCAGCCGCGGUAAUACGGAGGGUGCGAGCGUUAAUCGGAAUUACUGGGCGUAAAGCGCACGCAGGCGGUUUGUUAAGCUAGAUGUGAAAGCCCCGGGCUCAACCUGGGAUAGUCAUUUAGAACUGGCAGACUAGAGUCUUGGAGAGGGGAGUGGAA